UUUCGUAACUUACUUUUUUAUGUGAUAAAAUUAAUUUUAUUGGACUUCCAACAUAAAUUGAUUUAGCAAAACUCAGUUCAAAGGUUUAUAUCAGACCUAAAACGUCAGGACCCGCCCACCUGCAUGCAGCUGUGGAAGAACAAGCCCAGACACGUUUCUUCACGGAGCCCAAGGAAAACACUUUACCGAACUCAUAUGGGAUGGCCCUGUAAGUUGUGCAGCACUGUUGUACCAACCAAGAGUGACAUUUUAAAGCAUUACAGACUGCACCAUGGGACCUUUGGACACAGCCAUUCCUUGCCUUGCAUUCAUAUUAAUGAAGCGUUCCGAAGGUGCACUGCUGUUCCACUGGAAUCAACAUUUAUGUCCCAACUGAACAGGUACACGCCAAAACUCCUGGAGCUCUUCAGUGCAAAAGGAGGAGUGACUGCAGCGCAUCAAGAACUUGUUGAUGGAACUGAUACAGAUGAGUCAAAAGCGGUUUAAAAGUUUAAACUGAAUCUGUAAUCAUGCUCUAAUAACGGUAUCACAGAUUUGGAGUAAAAUUGCCAACAAAAUUCAUUUAUUUAUUAUUCUUCUCUUAACUCUAGGACCCAAGUGCCUCUGCAGUGAAGAAGAGAGAUGUGACUGUGAGAUGCCUCAUAGAGUACAGGGGAGAGAGUGGACAGGAGCUAAUCUCUGACUACUGGAACUGCAGAGACCACUGUUCAUGAGGACCUGGAAAUAAAGAAUAUGAGCAUCUACAUCUGUCGUGAGCCAAAUGCAGUAGGAAUCAUCAUUGAGGGAGUACCAGUCCUUACUCAUCUUGGAAACCUGGCCAAAGCAUGCUGCCUACUUCUGGGGUUGACUAUGCACUUAAUCUUGAGUAUCCAUCCAAACUUUCCAAAACAUUUGAGGUGUUUCAAAGACUUUUUGUGGGACUUGACACACUGCGCCCAAAUCCAACCCCCAAAUUCAUGACUCUCAAAAACAAGCUUCUAGCUUAGGCAGUGAGCCAUGACUGUCAGCUUGCACUUUUGAACAGCUAUUUUCUUGUGUCUGUUCAAAAUCAUUAUACAUUGUUCAUUGAGUGGAAUUCUUCAGAAUGUUGUAACGGUUUGUCCUGUUCAGGUUUUUUACAAAGCUCCAGGUCAUCGUUUCUGGUGUGUAAAUUAAGUUUUUUUUAUGUUUUAUACACACUAAAUUGCCCCACUGUGAAGCUCAAGCUGGUCAGAAGGAGGGAUCUGUGAGUUGUUUAAGUUAAAAUGUUUCAAAAUAUACACACUGAAAGACACUACAGUGAAGGUGUUCUGCUUAUGAAUUGUUACAGAAGUACAGAUAAUCUUAAUGUUAAAUUGUUUUAGCAAGAAACUGUACUGUGAAUGUUCUAAGUAAAACUUGAGAUGCUGAGGUCAUGCAUUCUUUUAUGCACUAAAUACUGAUGUUCUUGACUGUUAAUACUGUCCAGCUUAUUGACAGGUUUGGAUAUGGCUUGUGAAAAUGUUUUAAUAUGUAUACGGUUAAAAAAAGAAAAAUACUGUGAAGGUGUUCUAUACAGCACUUUAAAAAGUUGAGGUCAUGCAUUCUUGUAUAAUAUGGAUGUUGACUGUUCAUACUGUCCAGCUCAUUGCCACUGUUUUUAUAUGGUAAUGAUUUAAUAAAGGUUGGAAUUUGA